rnacentral:rRNA from 1 species
CGGACGGGUGAGUAACGCGUGAGAACCUGCCUUCAGAAUGGGGACAACAGUUGGAAACGACUGCUAAUACCCAAUGUGCCGAAAGGUGAAAGAUUUAUCGUCUGAAGAUGGACUCGCGUCUGAUUAGCUAGAUGGUGGGGUAAGAGCCUACCGUGGCAACGAUCAGUAGCUGGUCUGAGAGGAUGAGCAGCCACACUGGGACUGAGACACGGCCCAGACUCCUACGGGAGGCAGCAGUGGGGAAUUUUCCGCAAUGGGCGAAAGCCUGACGGAGCAAUACCGCGUGAGGGAGGAAGGUCCUUGGAUUGUAAACCUCUUUUAUCAGGGAAGAAAAAAAUGACGGUACCUGAUGAAUAAGCAUCGGCUAACUCCGUGCCAGCAGCCGCGGUAAUACGGAGGAUGCAAGCGUUAUCCGGAAUUAUUGGGCGUAAAGCGUCCGUAGGUGGUUUUGCAAGUCUGCUGUUAAAGAAUGGAGCUUAACUCCAUAAGAGCGGUGGAAACUGCAAGACUAGAGUACAGUAGGGGUAGCAGGAAUUCCCAGUGUAGCGGUGAAAUGCGUAGAUAUUGGGAAGAACAUCGGUGGCGAAAGCGUGCUACUGGGCUGAAACUGACACUGAGGGACGAAAGCUAGGGUAGCGAAAGGGAUUAGAUACCCCUGUAGUC